rnacentral:rRNA from 1 species
GUGAGGAAUUUUCCGCAAUGGGCGAAAGCCUGACGGAGCAAUGCCGCGUGAAGGAUGAAGGCCUAUGGGUUGUAAACUUCUUUUCUCAGAAAAGAAUUAUGACGGUAUCUGAGGAAUAAGCAUCGGCUAACUCUGUGCCAGCAGCCGCGGUAAGACAGAGGAUGCAAGCGUUAUCCGGAAUGAUUGGGCGUAAAGCGUCUGUAGGUUGUUUAAAAAGUAUUCUGUCAAAGAUUAGGGCUUAACCCUAGAUAGGCAGAAUAAACUUUUAAGCUAGAGUUUGGUAGAGGCAGAUGGAAUUCCCGGUGGAGCGGUGAAAUGCGUAGAUAUCGGGAGGAACACCAAAGGCGAAGGCACUCUGCUGGGCCAAUACUAACACAGAGAGACGAAAGCGAGGGGAGCAAAUGGGAUUAGAUACCCGUGUAGUCC